rnacentral:rRNA from 1 species
AUUGUUUUGAUGGGAAAACCCCCCGGGCUUAACCCGGGGAAGGUCAUUGGAAAACUGUCCAACUUGAAUACAGAAGGAGUAAGUGGAAUUCCAAGUGUAGCGGUGAAAUGCGUAGAUAUUGGGGGAACACCAGUGGCGAAGGCGACUUACUGGUCUGUAAUUGACGCUGAGGCUCGAAAGCGUGGGUAGCAAACAGGAUUAGAUACCCUGGUAGUCCACGCCGUAAACGAUGAGUGCUAAGUGUUGGAGGGUUUCCGCCCUUCAGUGCUGGAGUUAACGCAUUAAGCACUCCGCCUGGGGAGUACGGCCGCAAGGCUGAAACUCAAAGGAAUUGACGGGGACCCGCACAAGCGGUGGAGCAUGUGGUUUAAUUCGACGCAACGCGAAGAACCUUACCAGCUCUUGACAUCUUCUGUUCACCCUAGAGAUAGGGCUUCCCCUUCGGGGGCAGAAAGACAGGUGGUGCAUGGUUGUCGUCAGCUCGUGUCGUGAGAUGUUGGGUUAAGUCCCAUAACGAGCGCAACCCUUAUUGUUAGUUGCCAGCAUUCAGUUGGGCACUCUAGCGAGACUGCCGGUGAUAAACCGGAGGAAGGUGGGGAUGACGUCAAAUCAUCAUGCCCCUUAUGAGCUGGGCUACACACGUGCUACAAUGGACGGUACAACGAGUUGCGACCCCGCAAGGGUGAGCGAAUCUUGAUAAGCCGUUCUCAGUUCGGAUUGUUCUCUGCAACUCGAGAGCAUGAAGCCGGAAUCGCUAGUAAUCGCGGAUCAGAAUGCCGCGGUGAAUACGUUCCCGGGUCUUGUACACACCGCCCGUCA